rnacentral:rRNA from 1 species
UCUGUUGCAGUCAAUUUAUUGACCCUGACGUUUCAGGAUAUGCUUUGCAGGGCCGUCGCCCUGUUCAAGCGUCAGAAGUCUCUGGAGAACCGUAAUGGUGAGAAGGAGAUGAAUGCGUGAUGACAAAAGUUAGCAAACUCCCGGAACCCGUGAAAAGGGGACAGAAUGUCCGUACCGAGAUCUGACACAGGUGCCCCUAGCUAAAAAGGCUAAGGCGUGUCGGUUUAAUCAUGGUUAGGGAAUUCGGCAAAUUGGCCCCGUAACUUCGGAAUAAGGGGUGCCUGCCUGGAGAUCAGGCAGGUCGCAGUGACCAGAGGGCUCCGACUGUCUAAUAACAACAUAGCAGACUGCAACUCCGUAAGGACUAGUAUAGUCUGUGAUUCCUGCCCAGUGCAGGUAUCUGAAAACUCAGUACAAUGGGAAGAAGGACCUGUAAACGGCGGGGGUAACUAUGACCCUCUUAAGGUAGCGUAGUACCUUGUCGCUUAAUUGGCGACUUGCAUGAAUGGAUUAACGAGAGCCCUACUGUCCCAACCAUGAGGCCGUUGAACAUUUUAUUCUGGUGCAGAGGCCAGAGACUCCAGAUGGGAAGUGAAGACCCCGUGGAGCUUUACUGCAGCCUGUCGUUGUGUUACGGUAUUCAAUGCGCAGGGUAGAUGGGAGGCGUCGAUCCGUUUCUUUUGGGAAACGGGGAGCCAACGAUGAGACACCAUCCCUUGUUUACUGUAACACUCACUCUAUUCGAGGACAUCGAUAGGUGGGCAGUUUGGGUGGGGCGCCACACCCUCGAAAAAAUAUCAAGGGUGCCCCAAGGUCAACUCAUGUGAGUCAGAAACUCACAGAAGAGUGUCAAGAGCAAAAGUUGGCCUGACGCUGACACGCAUAGUAAGUGUCUGCGAGAGGAAACUCGGGUCUAACGAACCAAUACGCGUUGUUGAUGAAUGCUAUUGACGACAGAAAAGCUACCCCGGGGAUAACAGAGUCGUCGCCGGCAAGAGCACAUAUCGACCCGGCGGCUUGCUACCUCGAUGUCGGUUCUUUCCAUCCUGGCUGUGCAGCAGCAGCCAAGGGUGAGGUUGUUCGCCUAUUAAAGGGGAUCGUGAGCUGGGUUUAGACCGUCGUGAGACAGGUCGGUUACUAUCUAUCUGGAGUGUUGGGUGUCUGAAGGUAAGACGGAAAUAGUACGAGAGGAACUUUCCGUCGUCGCCUCUGGUAUACCGGUUGUCCGACAGGGCAUCGCCGGGUGGCUACGCGAUAAGGGAUAAAAGCUGAAAGCAUCUAAGCUUGAAACCUGACCUAAAACGAGACACCGUCUGAGAGCACGGGUAAAAGACCCGGUUGAUAGGCGUGGGAUGUACGCACGAAGGCAACGACGUGUUAAGUCCACACGUACUAAUAGCUCGAUAUCCACAAUG